GUCUACGGCCAUACCACCCUGAACGCGCCCGAUCUCGUCAGAUCUCGGAAGCAAAGCAGGGUCGGGCCUAGUUAGUACUUGGAUAGGAGUUUAAUACUACUUAACACAGGAUCUCACAUUCUGGGCACUUGGGAUA
rnacentral:rRNA from 1 species